AUUGAACGCUGGCGGCAGGCCUAACACAUGCAAGUCGAGCGGAUGAAGGGAGCUUGCUCCUGGAUUCAGCGGCGGACGGGUGAGUAAUGCCUAGGAAUCUGCCUGGUAGUGGGGGAUAACGUCCGGAAACGGGCGCUAAUACCGCAUACGUCCUGAGGGAGAAAGUGGGGGAUCUUCGGACCUCACGCUAUCAGAUGAGCCUAGGUCGGAUUAGCUAGUUGGUGGGGUAAAGGCCUACCAAGGCGACGAUCCGUAACUGGUCUGAGAGGAUGAUCAGUCAAGCUGGAGGUGAGAACGCGACGAUACGCCGGCGGGAGGCAGAAGGGGAGAAUGUCGGAGAAGGAGGGACAGCUGGAUCCAGCCAGGCUGAGGGUGUGAAGAUGGUCUUCGAAUUGUAAAGCUGUGUGAGUGGGGAGGAAGGGAAUUUAGGUAAUACGGUUGUGUUUUCCCGAGACGAAAAGAAUAAGCACCGGAUAACUUCGUGCGAGCAGCCGAGGAAUAAGGGGAAGAGCAGACUUCUGACC
rnacentral:rRNA from 1 species